AGAGUUUGAUCCUGGCUCAGGAUGAACACUAGCGGCGUGCCUGAGAUAUGCAAGUCGAAUGUCUUUUUCUCCGCAAGGAGAGAAGGUAAUGGCGGACGGCUGAGUAACACGUGGGGACCUGCCCUAAAGUAGGGAAUAGCUCACCGAAAGGUGGGGUAAUACUCUAUAUCCAGUUUACUGGAAAGAGCUUAACUGCUCGCUUAAGGAUGGACCUGCGUCCUAUCAGAUAGUUGGUGAGGUAAAGGCUUACCAAGUCUAUGACGGGUAGCUGGCCUGAGAAGGUGGUCAGCCAGAGGAGCACUGAGAUACGGGCUCCACUCCUACGGGAGGCAGCAAUCAGGAAUAGUCGGCAAUGGGCGAAAGCCUGACCGCGCGACGUCGCGUGUAGGAUGAAGCAUUAACGUGUGUAAACUACUGUGGUAAGAGAAGAAAUUCCGAUUUAUCGGAACUGACGGUAUCUUACUAGAAAGAGGCCGCUAACUGCGUGCCAGAAGCGUCGGUAAGACGUGGGCCUCAAGUGUUAUCCGGUGUUAUUGGGCGUAAAGAGUCGUGUAGGUGGUCUAGUAAGUUCUUACUUAAAGACCGGGGCUCAACCUCGGGAAAAGUAAGAAUACUGCUGGACUAGAAUAUCCUCAAGGGAGAUUGGAACUGAACGAGUAGCAGUGAAAUGCGUUGAUACGUUCAGGAACAUCAGUGGCGAAGGCGAAUCUCUGGGAGGAUAUUGACACUGAGACACGAAAGCUAGGGGAGCGAAGCAGAUUAGAGACCUGCGUAGUCCUAGCCCUAAACCAUGCUUGCUGGCUGCAUUGGCUCCAAUUUAUUGGAGACGGUGUGGCGAAGCUAACGCGUUAAGCAAGCCGCCUGGGGAGUACGGUCGCAAGGCUGAAACUCAAAGGAAUUGA
rnacentral:rRNA from 1 species